UACAGAGGGUGCGAGCGUUGUUCGGAAUUACUGGGCGUAAAGCGCGCGCAGGCGGCCCUUUAAGUCCGUCGGUCAAAUGCCGGGGCUCAACCCCGAUGCAUGCCGAGGAUACUGGAGGGCUGGAGACACGUAGAGGCAAGCGGAAUUCCUGGUGUAGCGGUGAAAUGCGCAGAUAUCAGGAGGAACACCGAUGGCGAAGGCAGGUCUCUGGGCCACUACUGACGCUGAGAAGCGAAAGCAUGGGGAGCGAACAGG
rnacentral:rRNA from 1 species